CCUUGAAAUACCACCCUUUAAUGUUUGAUGUUCUAACGUGGACCCGUAAUCCGGGUUGCGGACAGUGUCUGGUGGGUAGUUUGACUGGGGCGGUCUCCUCCUAAAGAGUAACGGAGGAGCACGAAGGUUGGCUAAUCCUGGUCGGACAUCAGGAGGUUAGUGCAAUGGCAUAAGCCAGCUUGACUGCGAGCGUGACGGCGCGAGCAGGUGCGAAAGCAGGUCAUAGUGAUCCGGUGGUUCUGAAUGGAAGGGCCAUCGCUCAACGGAUAAAAGGUACUCCGGGGAUAACAGGCUGAUACCGCCCAAGAGUUCAUAUCGACGGCGGUGUUUGGCACCUCGAUGUCGGCUCAUCACAUCCUGGGGCUGAAGUAGGUCCCAAGGGUAUGGCUGUUCGCCAUUUAAAGUGGUACGCGAGCUGGGUUUAGAACGUCGUGAGACAGUUCGGUCCCUA
rnacentral:rRNA from 1 species